CUGGGCUUCACAGAAGGUGCCUGAGGGCAGCGCUGUCUCAUUUUUGCCUUUAUGUUCUCCUUAAACAGUACAGUUCCGGCCACAAACGAAGCACUGAAAAAUGCUGGUUGAAUUGAACGGAUCCGAACUGAAGAAUCGUUGCUUAUCCAGGAUUCUAACACUUUAGUCCUCUCUACAUACAAAGCAGUCCAAUGAUAUUAGCCUGCAUGACAUUCCUCACUCAAGACUUUCCAUCUCCUGGUUCAGGAUGGAGGAGGUUUCAAGAAGCAGUUAAUUCUCAUGUCAAGAUGAAGAAAUAGGAUAACAUUCUAGAUCCCGAGGCUGUUCUUUGUGGGAUGCCCUUGUCAUUUUACUGAAAGGAAAAAAGACAAAACUA
rnacentral:lncRNA from 1 species